GGGCUGCGUCCAGGCGCUCAGCCCAGGCUCCGGUCACCUCCGACCUGGAACUGGGUCCCAAACGGGCACAGAACAGUCCCUGUCCGUUUGUCCUGGUGUGAGCUCAGGGCACCAGGCGUCACUAAGCCCUUUCUCUUUCAACGCUUUUGGUGCUAAAGAUGGGAAGAGGACAGGAAGGGGUGUGGCUUGGACUCUGCCUCCAGCAAUUCUGCGAGGAUGGGUCUGUGACCCUUUUGCCGAAGACAAAACUGAGGCUUCAGAGAUGGACCCACUUCCCCCAAGACUCAUAGCAGUGUGCAGUGGCUUGAUGUGGGAUUGCAGUUCUCAG